UUUAUUUUAGAUUCUAAUUUUUGAAAAACUAAAAAGAAUUGGCAAAUUUAUUACCAAGCGAAAAUAAAGAGCAAAUCCUAAAAUAUCUACAAGAACAUCCACAGGAGAGGCCAUCACAUUCCUUGGCGUAUAUCCAGUAAAAAAAGCAAAUAGCACGACAGUAACACAACGGAUAUACAAAUACCUACAACUGCACGGGGAGCAACGUGGCUUUUUUAAAUCAAUCUAUGGAGGCGAAGCCAUGUUAAAGAAAAAUCCACAAGCCAAGCCUUCACUUGCAUUGGCUGCAGACAUUUACGCUGCUAUUUAAAAAGGGGCGACUGCUAAUAAAGGGCAUUACAAUAUAAAUAUACAAUGAAAAUCAAUUACUUAUUCAAUUACAGCAAGUGUCUUCAAUUGGAAAAUGUUUAUCCUUGUACUGAUGGAACAUAUAUGUUCUUGAGAACGAUGUUUUUAGAACGAUGUAAAAUUUCUAAGAAAUGUUAAAGGUUAUUUUUGAAAACUAUUUUCAAUUUAAUGAAAUGUAUUAUUCUUACGACUUUUUUAAUAACUUUUGACGAAAUGACGCUCUUACAGUACAUUAGCUUGUAACAACAACAACAUAAGAAUCUUAUAGUUGGAUUAUCGUAAAUUCUAAUUUUUAAUUAAUCAAUAUGUACUUAAGUCGGAUAAAAAGUGAAACAGAAAAUAUAUGGGUACUAGAACUUCGCAAGUAUUUAUUAAAUGUGUUCAUAGUUUUAUUGAAAGUCACAAAAUUCAUUUUC